CAGCCUCCACAGGCAGGGGGGCCCCAGGCUGGGCUGUUUGAGUAUUGCUUUGAAAGUCUCACUCUCAAGCACGACCCGGAGC
rnacentral:pre_miRNA from 1 species